GCUGGUAGCGGUUGCGGCACCGGUUGCAGCAGAAGAUCUUCUCCGGGAAGCCGAUGUCGCCGCACAUGCAACACACCGCCGGAUGAUCCACCAUUUCUUGAUCCCUCAGAGAGAGAGAGAGAGAGAGAGACAGAGAGAGAGAGAGAGGAAUUUGCUUUCAACGGUCAGUACGAAGAAUAAAAUAUAAAUACAUGCUCAAACUCAGGAUGUCACAAAGUGUGGUUUGGUUUCAUGCAUGAGUUGAGUUUCGUUGCAUUC